rnacentral:rRNA from 1 species
ACAGCAGUCGCCGCGGGAAUACGGAGGGUGCAAGCGUUAAUCGGAAUUACUGGGCGUAAAGCGCACGCAGGCGGUUUGUUAAGUCAGAUGUGAAAUCCCCGAGCUUAACUUGGGAACUGCAUUUGAAACUGGCAAGCUAGGGUCUUGUAGAGGGGGGUAGAAUUCCAGGUGUAGCGGUGAAAUGCGUAGAGAUCUGGAGGAAUACCGGUGGCGAAGGCGGCCAUCUGGGACAACACUGACGCUGAGGCACGAAAGCGUGGGGAGCAAACAGGAUUAGAUACCCGGGUAGUCCCUGUCUCUUAUAC